rnacentral:rRNA from 1 species
GUGCCCUUCAGUACGGAAUAGCUUCUGGAAACGGAAGGUAAUACCGUAUACGCCCUCCGGGGGAAAGAUUUAUCGCUGAAGGAUCGGCCCGCGUUAGAUUAGCUUGUUGGUGAGGUAAUGGCUCACCAAGGCGACGAUCUAUAGCUGGUCUGAGAGGAUGAUCAGCCACACUGGGGCUGAGACACGGCCCAGACUCCUACGGGAGGCAGCAGUGGGGAAUCUUGCACAAUGGGCGAAAGCCUGAUGCAGCCAUGCCGCGUGAAUGAUGAAGGCCCUAGGGUUGUAAAAUUCUUUCAUCAGGGACGAUAAUGACGGUACCUGAAGAAGAAGCCCCGGCUAACUUCGUGCCAGCAGCCGCGGUAAUACGAAGGGGGCUAGCGUUGUUCGGAAUUACUGGGCGUAAAGCGCGCGUAGGCGGACUAUUAAGCCAGAUGUGAAAUCCCGGGGCUCAACCUCGGAACUGCAUUUGGAACUGGUAGUCUAGAGGCCAGGAGAGGUUAGUGGAAUGCCGAGUGUAGAGGUGAAAUUCGUAGAUAUUCGGUGGAACACCAGUGGCGAAGGCGACUGACUGGACUGGUACUGACGCUGAGGUGCGAAAGUGUGGGGAGCAAACAGGAUUAGAUACCCUGGUAGUCCACACCGUAAACGAUGAGUGCUAGUUGUCGGCAGGCAUGCCUGUCGGUGACGCAGCUAACGCAUUAAGCACUCCGCCUGGGGAGUACGGCCGCAAGGUUAAAACUCAAAGAAAUUGACGGGGGCCCGCACAAGCGGUGGAGCAUGUGGUUUAAUUCGAAGCAACGCGCAGAACCUUACCUACCCUUGACAUGCCCGGUUUGGUCGCCAGAGAUGGCUUCCUUGAUUCGUUCGCCGGUGCACAGGUGCUGCAUGGCUGUCGUCAGCUCG